rnacentral:rRNA from 1 species
AUUGAACGCUGGCGGCAGGCCUAACACAUGCAAGUCGAGCGGAUGAAGGGAGCUUGCUCCUGGAUUCAGCGGCGGACGGGUGAGUAAUGCCUAGGAAUCUGCCUGGUAGUGGGGGAUAACGUCCGGAAACGGGCGCUAAUACCGCAUACGUCCUGAGGGAGAAAGUGGGGGAUCUUCAGACCUCACGCUAUCAGAUGAGCCUAGGUCGGAUUAGCUAGUUGGUGGGGUAAAGGCCUACCAAGGCGACGAUCCGUAACUGGUCUGAGAGGAUGAUCAGUCACACUGGAACUGAGACACGGUCCAGACUCCUACGGGAGGCAGCAGUGGGGAAUAUUGGACAGUGGGCGAAAGCCUUAUCCAGCCAUGCCGCGUGUGUGAAGAAGGUCUUCGGAUUGUAAAGCACUUUAAGUUGGGAGGAAGGGCAGUAAGUUAAUACCUUGCUGUUUUGACGGUACCAACAGAAUAAGCACCGGCUAACUUCGUG